rnacentral:miRNA from 1 species
GUGAGACUAAUAUAUCCAUGGUGU